AACAUUAUCACCACCAAUGGCCGCCGCCGCCUCCUCCUCUGCCGUCUUCGCCGCCCCAACCUUCUCGGCCACCGCCACAAGGCAGCAGCCGAGCCCCACCACCGUAUCAUUCCAAGGCCUCCGUGCACUCCCGGGCGUGAAGUCAAGCCGGUCGGGAGUCGCGGCAAAGCCCCGGAGAUCGGUGGUGGUGAAGGCGGAGUUGAACCCAUCUCUAGUUAUAAGCCUGAGCACUGGGCUGUCGUUGUUCUUAGGAAGGUUUGUUUUCUUCAAUUUCCAAAGGGAGAAUGUGAGCAAGCAAGUGCCAGAGCAAAAUGGGCUGACCCAUUUUGAGGCUGGUGAUGUGAGGGCUAAAGAAUAUAUUAGCCUAUUGAAAUCUAAUGAUCCUGUUGGGUUUAAUAUUGUUGAUGUUCUUGCUUGGGGUUCUAUUGGCCAUAUUGUUGCUUAUUAUAUCUUGGCUACUUCUAGCAAUGGAUA
rnacentral:misc_RNA from 1 species